GACGAACGCUGGCGGCAUGCCUUACACAUGCAAGUCGAACGGUAACAGGUCUUCGGAUGCUGACGAGUGGCGAACGGGUGAGUAACACAUCGGAACGUGCCUAGUAGUGGGGGAUAACUACUCGAAAGAGUGGCUAAUACCGCAUGAGAUCUACGGAUGAAAGCAGGGGAUCGCAAGACCUUGUGCUACUAGAGCGGCCGAUGGCAGAUUAGGUAGUUGGUGGGAUAAAAGCUUACCAAGCCGACGAUCUGUAGCUGGUCUGAGAGGACGAUCAGCCACACUGGGACUGAGACACGGCCCAGACUCCUACGGGAGGCAGCAGUGGGGAAUUUUGGACAAUGGGCGCAAGCCUGAUCCAGCAAUGCCGCGUGCAGGAUGAAGGCCUUCGGGUUGUAAACUGCUUUUGUACGGAACGAAAAGCCCUGGGUUAAUACCCUGGGGUCAUGACGGUACCGUAAGAAUAAGCACCGGCUAACUACGUGCCAGCCGCCGCGUAAAAC
rnacentral:rRNA from 1 species